UCGCGGUGGUAGGGGCUGAUGCUGCCUUCGCCGGUGUCGUGGGCAAAGUUGCCCAGCUUGGCGCCCUGGUUCAGCGCCCGGAUUGCAUU
rnacentral:tRNA from 1 species